rnacentral:rRNA from 1 species
AUUGAACGCUGGCGGCAUGCCUUACACAUGCAAGUCGAACGGCAGCAUGGAGAGCUUGCUCUCUGAUGGCGAGUGGCGAACGGGUGAGUAAUAUAUCGGAACGUACCUUAUUGUGGGGGAUAACGCCGCGAAAGCUGUCCUAAUACCUCAUAAUCCCUAAGGGGGAAAGCGGGGGACCGUAAGGCCUCGCGCAAUUAGAGCGGCCGAUACCUGAUUAGCUAGUUGGUGAGGGAAAGGCUCACCAAGGCAACGAUCAGUAGCUGGUCUGAGAGGACGAUCAGCCACACUGGGACUGAGACACGGCCCAGACUCCUACGGGAGGCAGCAGUGGGGAAUUUUGGACAAUGGGGGCAACCCUGAUCCAGCAAUGCCGCGUGAGUGAAGAAGGCCUUCGGGUUGUAAAGCUCUUUUGUCAGGGAAGAAACAGCAGCUCUAACACAGUUUGCGAAUGACGGUACCUGAAGAAUAAGCACCGGCUAACUACGUGCCAGCCGCCGCCGUAA